GCAACAUGGGAGGAGGAUAUCUUGACUGGGUUAAAAAUCAAUUUCCAGUGAAAACACCUUUGGAUUUGGUUAAAGAUGAAGUUCCAUUGAAAGCAACUUUGGACUUGGUUAAAGAUGAAGUUCCAUUGGAAACAACUUUGGACUUGGUUAAAGAUGAAGAAGUUCCAUUGGAAACAACUUUGGACUUGGUUAAAAACAAAUUGCCAUUAAAAGCACCAUAAAAAAUGACCCUCAUCAGCUACAUGAACCUUGAUCAUUCUGAAUGGUUCACAACACAGGAAUAUGUGUUAUUAGUAUAAUCU
rnacentral:lncRNA from 1 species